GCGAUCACUUAGACAGCACAUAUACUAAAAUUGGAAUGAUACAGAGAAGAUUAGCAUGGCCCCUGCCCAAAGAUGACACGCAAAUUCAUGAAGCGUUCCAUAUGAAA
rnacentral:snRNA from 1 species